UGCAAAAGUAGUUGAACCGGUUUUGUGCAUUGUUAUGAAUUGAACCUGCAUUAAUUUCACGACAUGACACAGUGAAAUAUCCAAUGAAGUGACCACUGUCCAGUAAGAAAAUCAUUUGAGCUCUUUUAAACCUGUAUAAUGUCAUUGCAAAAUCAUUUCUGCCUAGAAAAACACGAAACUUUCAUUGAAACACUUCUUUCUGUACUGAAUGUGUAUUUUUUUUUAUCAGGACCUGAAAUAAUAGUAAGAACAUCAUAAUAUUCAGUAUGCUGAAAAGAAGUGUUAUGAAAGCGGCAGGGGCGGGUCCAGCCAUUUAAAAAAGGGGGUCCUAACCCUGGACAAAAGGGGAGGGGGUUCCAACUACAUGUUCCCAUCCAAAUGCACUGAUCGUCCAAAAAAAGGGGGUCCAUCCCCCGGAACCCCCGCCCCCUGGAUCCGCCACUGAGCGGGUACGGUAUAUAGCUCAAUCCAUUUUUUAUAGUUUCAUCCAUCGAUAAUAUCCGUUUGUUGCUAAUUUUAUCACAAAAUAUACCUCAGAGGUUUUUUUAUCGUUCGGCUGCUGUCCUGUUGACAUAUGUAAAAUAUCUCCAAUAUUAAAAGUCUCUGGAUCAUAGUGGGUGCCAUAUUACCUAUUAUUUUUUUUUCUAAAACGUGCUUUGUAUAUAGAAAUAAGAAGAUGAGGUAUGAGUGCCAAAUGAGACAUCUUUCCAACAAAGACAUAAUUUAGUAAAGUAAGCAGUCAUAGGUCCAAUGCUGAAAAGUAAGCUAUUAAUGACCCAAAAAUUACUUGUGUAAAACAAUCCAAACAACAACAAAAAAACGACCCAAUUAA
rnacentral:lncRNA from 1 species